AGCUUCGGUUCCGUCUCACUGGUGACUCUGAAUAACAUUGCUGAUCGUACGGCCUUGUGCCGACGACGAGUCUUUCAAGUGUCUGCCUUAUCAACUGUCGAUGGUAGGUUAUGCGCCUACCAUGGUUGUAACGGGUAACGGGGAAUCAGGGUUCGAUUCCGGAGAGGGAGCCUGAGAAACGGCUACCACAUCCAAGGAAGGCAGCAGGCGCGCAAAUUACCCACUCCCGGCACGGGGAGGUAGUGACGAAAAAUAACGAUACGGAACUCAUACGAGGCUCCGUAAUCGGAAUGAGUACACUUUAAAUCCUUUAACGAGGAUCUAUUGGAGGGCAAGUCUGGUGCCAGCAGCCGCGGUAAUUCCAGCUCCAAUAGCGUAUAUUAAAGUUGUUGCGGUUAAAAAGCUCGUAGUUGGAUCUCGGUUUCACUCAGGCGGUACACCUUGCGGUGUUCACUGUCUGGGCGGACGUUUCUGUCGGUUCGCUGUUGGUUCUCUUAAUCGAGUGCCAGCCGGUGGCCAGCACGUUUACUUUGAAAAAAUUGGAGUGCUCAAAGCAGGCGUUACAGCCUGAACAUUAGUGCAUGGAAUAAUGGAAUAGGAUCUCGAUUCUAUUUCGUUGGCUUUCGGAGUCGAGGUAAUGAUUAAUAGGGACAGACGGGGGCAUUCGUACUGCGACGUUAGAGGUGAAAUUCUUGGAUCGUCGCAAGACGAACUACUGCGAAAGCAUUUGCCAAGAAUGUUUUCAUUAAUCAAGAACGAAAGUUAGAGGUUCGAAGGCGAUCAGAUACCGCCCUAGUUCUAACCAUAAACGAUGCCAACCGGCGAUCCGUCGUCGUUAAUUGAAUGACUCGACGGGCAGCCUCCGGGAAACCAGAGUGUUUGGGUUCCGGGGGAAGUAUGGUUGCAAAGCUGAAACUUAAAGGAAUUGACGGAAGGGCACCACCAGGAGUGGAGCCUGCGGCUUAAUUUGACCCAACACGGGAAAUCUCACCAGGCCCGGACACCGGAAGGAUUGACAGAUUGAGAGCUCUUUCUUGAUUCGGUGGGUGGUGGUGCAUGGCCGUUCUUAGUUGGUGGAGCGAUUUGUCUGGUUAAUUCCGAUAACGAACGAGACUCUGGCCUACUAACUAGAAGGGCCGUUCUUUAUGAGCGGUCCUCUGCUUCUUAGAGGGACGGGCGGCGUUUAGCCGCACGAGAAUGAGCAAUAACAGGUCUGUGAUGCCCUUAGAUGUUCUGGGCUGCACGCGCGCUACACUGAAGGAAUCAGCAUGUUCUCCCCUCCCUGAAAAGGGCGGGUAACCCGUUGAAACUCCUUCGUGAUGGGGAUUGGAGAUUGUAAUUAU
rnacentral:rRNA from 1 species